rnacentral:tRNA from 1 species
GGUGGGUUCGCAUAGUGGACUAGUGCGCACGCUUGGAGAGCGUGUAUCCGCCCCUGGCGGAUCGUGGGUUCGAAUCCCACACCCACCGCCA